CCAGCCACAGCUUCCACUGUCCUAGACCUUUUUCCAAGAUUCCUCGACACACCAGGCUUGGUAAGAAAUAAUGACUGGUUGACAGCUUUGUUCUGUCUUUAUUUGUUUGCCCUCUAAUGUAUUUUUUCAUGUCAUAUUUUGUGUUUAAGAUCGACCAAGACUUCAAUAUGCUCUUUGGUGAUGAAGUGACUGGUAAAUUCCUCGCUAAAUGGCCAACAUUCUUCAAACCAAAGGUCAUUGCGGAGUGCAAAAAUCUUCCUCGAAGUGUGCACGUGGAUGACCUCCUUUUGUCUGCCCAACAGGAAUCUGAUGAUGAUGAUGGUGGUAGUAUGGGACUGUGAGGUUGCCGCCAUCUGCCUGUUGCUUCACCUGUUGCCUCCAACAUCCAAGGGCAAGAAGUCUGCAAAGAUCAGCGCAACGGAUGCUACUGUCCGCCUGGUGAAGUUCCUUAAGGUGGGGAGAAGCAUGGAGACCUUCCUGAAGGAAACUGGCCCUGCUCAGCCCUUUCUCCUGUGUGUUGGAGAACGAAAAAACAGCAUCCAGAAUUUCUACAUCAUCCUGGACCAAAAGGCCAUUCCCUCCAAGACGCAGACUGGAGUUGCUGCCUUUGACGAGCUCUUCAAGGCACAUUUUGCUUUUGCUGUGUCCUAUGAUGAGGCGCUAUCCAACUUCUACACCUUCAUCCAGACAACCGUGUAUGGCAUUGACGUUGGCAGUGUGAAGGAGACCCCUCGGGUGAAGGAAAUUAGAGUAAGACUUCUUCACAGUUCAUUUUGAAGAGGAACUCAUUUAUGUUCAUUGAAGAGGAACAUACAUACAUGUAUGUAUGUUCUGGUGUUGAAAAUGAGAUGCUGUUGUUCAACAGGAUUGUCAGUGUUAUUGUAAGAGAUGACAGCGCUUAUCUUCUAACUUGUACUGUCUCAACAAUGCAUUUAGCAUUGAGGAGAAAAACAAUGUCUUUACACUGAUGUGUGUAGAUGAUCUGCUGUACUACAGGCCGUAUGACAGGCAAUUAUCAAAUUACACUGACGACCAAAUGUUUAUUGUGCCAUACUGUUUUCGUGUGACUCCAUGCUGUACAUGUUUUUAAGAAUGUUUUGCAUUUGUGCUGUACCUGCCUUUAAUACACUAUUUUGUGAAAUGAUUUUUUUUUUUCUUCUUGUAUUGUCUUUUGUAUUGUGGUUUUGGCUGGGGGGGGGGGGGGGGGGGGCCGUCGUCCACAACAUUCUACACCCUCAGUGUUAUUUUUUUUACACCUGUAAGUGUUGAUAAAUUGGAGUCCAGUGUAGUUUCUAGUGUAAUAUUAACACUGCUCAGUGUUGAUUCUAUAACACUACGAGCCUAGUGUAGAGUAUUAUUAACACUACUUGGUGUUGGCCAGUGCUGAUUUUUUAACACUGACACUAGUGUUGAGUAUUAUUAAAACUACUCAGUGUUGGCCAGUGUUGAUUUUCAACUCGAUUUAGUGUGGAAUUAACUCUGAGUGUAAAAUCAUUAACACUUUCAAAAGUGUCACUUUAACACCGAAAAGAGUGGAUGCAUAUGCACACUUUCUAAGUGUUAAAAUUGACACUCACAGAGUUGAUUUAACACUAGCGAUUUUGCUGUGUACAGCCAAGGGGAACCCAUGGGAAACCCUUAAGGGAAACCCCGUAAUGUAUAUUAGCUAGCUAGCCAUAAUGGUUAUUCUCAGUACUUUAAUGGCUAAAACCCCGAGCGACUCUGUGAUGCUGUCUGGUCAACACAUUCUCACUCCGAGCGCGUCGAUUUCUGACGAACGGUCAGUGACUUUGGCUUCAGUUUCUGACACAAAAG
ensembl:lncRNA